GUUUCACGACCAAUUAAGCUUGGU
rnacentral:siRNA from 1 species